GGGAGAUAGUAUGAGCAACAAGAUUGCUUUCCCAGGGUGAGGCCUGUCCCUCGCACUCAGGGCAUGCUGACCCCUGUGAUUUUCCCCAAGGUGGUUCUCCCA
rnacentral:snRNA from 1 species